rnacentral:lncRNA from 7 species
AUGUGCAUCAUGCAUCUCAUGAGGUACGAUAAAUAAUCGCGUGAUGCGGAAGAAGAACCAAGCCGACCCCAAGCGUGGGCUAAUCUGCAAGCUGAAGCUGAUGAAUCAACCUGAAGACGGUUAAAUCAAGCAAGUGCUCGGUCGAAGGAUACUCGUCAAGCGGACGUCACCUAACAACACUAACCUAGUGUUACUCAGGUUCUAACUUUGUGCUGUUGUUGAUGGUGUUAAGUGCCGGUGGGCUCGGCCUUCUUAUAAGUCUAAGUAACCCUUCUAUACUUCUUAUUGAGGAUGAUCCCUUGAGCUAGCAUAUAUUUCAAACUUAUAUUUUUGUAAUCACUCCGAUAAACUAAUGUAAAAUUUUUGUAACUUGUAAAAUUUGGUAGUAAGAUUUCCGCUGU